AUCAUUCCUUGGCCUUUUGGUUAGGGUCAAGUAUAAUAGCUGAUCUUAUCAGCUUGGUAUCUGAUAUAUCCUCUAUCUGAGGACAGUGUUUUAAAAGGAUUUUGUUUGUUCAUUUCCGGGCCACACCCAGCUGUGCUCAGGCCUCUUGGCUCUCCACUCAGAGGUCACUCCUAGUGAGGCGUGGGGACCAAAU